UGCACUCACAUGAUGAGAGUCAGGAAAUAGGAAGUGCCGUCUGAUGCGAUAACUGACGAUGUUUCCUGCUCUGAGAGUUGCAUGUCUAAAACUGGGAUGCUGUCUUUCAAAAAUGUUGCAGACUAGAUCUUUAUUAAAUAUUUUUUUUUGUUAACAGGGUCUAUGAUCUUCUGUUUAUGGGUGACAGAUGAGCUACUUGCAAUGACAAUAACCAGGUAAGUGUAACCUGUUGGUAAAUACUCUAACCCCCUUCCCCUAAAAAAGCCAAUGAUGUCUUGUUAUCCCUGUCUGAAAACUCAACUAUGAGGGACAUCUUGUUUUACUGAGGCUUUAAUAUAUUCUCUCCACCUUAUUCUAUAUUUUGGUACCAAACUAACUUUAAGGAACAUUCCAAUGCAGCCCACUGUAGUAUAGUGCCUGCGGCACCCUCCCAAUGUAGUUUAAACAUUUUUAGAAUGGUUUGACAACUUGCAGACUAACUGCUAUGGAGCUUAGUGUUCUUUUAAAGGUGAACUAUUACCUUCUCUGAAAAUUAAACCAUUCAAUAAAAUAUCACUUAUAACAUGUCUCCCACCACCCCUGUGCCAAGAAUUUUUAAUAGCUCCAAGAAAAGAUAUAUGCUAUCUUACAUAAGGCUAAGCUGGGGGCAAACAUUGUAAAUGGACAUUGUUUAAGUUCUCCUCCUGUGUUUUUGGAUUACCUUUUUUUUUUUUUUUUGCAGAUCCUUGAACUUCUCUGCACGAAGUGUGUGUGCCAUGGAGACACUGAGUUCCAAGAUAAUUUCAAAUAUAUCUUUAAAAUAUUACAAAAAUAAACUUUAUUUUUAGAACAAAAA
rnacentral:lncRNA from 1 species